rnacentral:rRNA from 1 species
UACAGAGGGUGCGAGCGUUAAUCGGAAUACUGGGCGUAAAGCGCACGUAGGUGGCGACGUAAGUCGGGUGUGAAAGCCCCGGGCUCAACCUGGGAAUUGCAUUCGAGACUGCAUUGCUGGAGUACGGAAGAGGAGGGCGGAAUUCCCGGUGUAGCGGUGAAAUGCGUAGAUAUCGGGAGGAACAUCAGUGGCGAAGGCGGCCCUCUGGUCCAGUACUGACACUCAAGUGCGAAAGCGUGGGGAGCAAACAGG